AGUCGAGGGGUAUGGUUCUUCGGAACCAGAGACCGGCGCACGGGUGCGUAACGCGUAUGCAAUCUGCCUUUCACAGAGGGAUAGCCCAGAGAAAUUUGGAUUAAUACCUCAUAGUAUAGCGACAUCGCAUGAUGAUGCUAUUAAAGUCACAACGGUGAAAGAUGAGCAUGCGUCCCAUUAGCUAGUUGGUAAGGUAACGGCUUACCAAGGCAACGAUGGGUAGGGGUCCUGAGAGGGAGAUCCCCCACACUGGUACUGAGACACGGACCAGACUCCUACGGGAGGCAGCAGUGAGGAAUAUUGGUCAAUGGGCGCAAGCCUGAACCAGCCAUGCCGCGUGCAGGAUGACGGUCCUAUGGAUUGUAAACUGCUUCUGCACAGGAAGAAACACUGAUUCGUGAAUCAGCUUGACGGUACUGUGAGAAUAAGGAUCGGCUAACUCCGUGCCAGCAGCCGCGGUAAUACGGAGGAUCCAAGCGUUAUCCGGAAUCAUUGGGUUUAAAGGGUCCGUAGGCGGUCUGGUAAGUCAGUGGUGAAAGCCCAUCGCUCAACGGUGGAACGGCCAUUGAUACUGCUGGACUUGAAUUAUUAGGAAGUAACUAGAAUAUGUAGUGUAGCGGUGAAAUGCUUAGAGAUUACAUGGAAUACCAAUUGCGAAGGCAGGUUACUACUAAUGGAUUGACGCUGAUGGACGAAAGCGUGGGUAGCGAACAGGAUUAGAUACCCUGGUAGUCCACGCCGUAAACGAUGGAUACUAGCUGUUGGAAGCAAUUUCAGUGGCUAAGCGAAAGUGAUAAGUAUCCCACCUGG
rnacentral:rRNA from 1 species